UACGUAGGCAGCGAGCGUUGUUCGGAAUUACUGGGCGUAAAGAGUGUGUAGGCGGUGCUCUAAGUUCGGUGUGAAAUCUCCCGGCUUAACUGGGAGGGUGCGCCGGAAACUGGAGUGCUCGAGCGUGGGAGAGGAAAGCGGAAUUCCUGGUGUAGCGGUGAAAUGCGCAGAUAUCAGGAGGAACACCGAUGGCGAAGGCAGGUCUCUGGGCAUUAACUGACGCUGAGGAGCGAAAGCAUGGGGAGCGAACAGG
rnacentral:rRNA from 1 species